rnacentral:rRNA from 1 species
GAUGAACGCUAGCGGGAGGCUUAACACAUGCAAGUCGAGGGGCAGCAUAGAGUAGCAAUACGUUGGUGGCGACCGGCGCACGGGUGAGUAACGCGUAUGCAACCUACCCUGUACUGGGGGAUAGCCCGGAGAAAUUCGGAUUAAUACCCCAUAAUGAUAUUGAGAGGCAUCUUUUGAUAUUUAAAGUUUCGACGGUACGGGAUGGGCAUGCGUAACAUUAGCUAGUUGGUAGGGUAACGGCCUACCAAGGCAACGAUGUUUAGGGAUCCUGAGAGGGUGAUCCCCCACACUGGUACUGAGACACGGACCAGACUCCUACGGGAGGCAGCAGUGAGGAAUAUUGGUCAAUGGGCGUAAGCCUGAACCAGCCAUCCCGCGUGCAGGAAGAAGGCGCUAUGCGUUGUAAACUGCUUUUCCAGGGGAAGAAAACUUCCAUCGAGAUGGGACUUGCCGGUACCCUGGGAAUAAGCAUCGGCUAACUCCGUGCCAGCAGCCGCCGUAAAAC